CUGCAGCCCGACUUGAGUGGAAAUCCUUUUUGCGUUAAAAAAUAGUUUUAAUUAUAAAAGACCUUUUAAUGCAAAAAGAUUGGGAACGGAAGACGGAAAAGCU
rnacentral:misc_RNA from 1 species